UAAUGUUAUUUUGGCAGAAUAGUGCAUUAAAUUUAGAAUUUAAUUAUGUAAUUAAUUAUAUUACAAAUAAUAC
rnacentral:tRNA from 1 species